rnacentral:ncRNA from 1 species
AAAAAAGCUAUGAAGGGGCAAGUAGGUUGAAAUCUGGCUUUUCAGGGAGAGGUAGUCAUAGACUGGAAGCUACCUUAAGUCAAUUCAACUGAAGUUCUCCCCGGAGCUGUCCGGCUGAACCAUUAGUAGGCCGGACCGGGUGACCGUUAUCUUUAUUUAAGUGGGUAUUAUUCCAAUCUGGGUGGUACCGCGGAAGUUAAGCUUUCGUCCCUAUU